CCGGUCACAACCAGGCUGCUCACCGACAGGCGGGGCUGAGCCGGAGCGGCUGAGGGCCGCCCGGCGGCAGCACCUCAUGGCAUGCACGGGCGACACCGCCUGAGGGCUCGCCCUCCGUGGGCGGGAAGGCGGAGAGGGCUCCUCCUCCUGCUGCUCUAGUUACCGGGCUGCAGUAGUGCCGGGGAGCUCGGAGGGGAUGAGCCCCGCUGCGGCUGCGCUCCGGCAGCCCGUGAGCCAUGCCCUGGGGGAACGGCUCGGCCGCCACCAGCCUUCUGGAGCCCCCCGCGGCGGAGCAGGAGGCGCCGGGCGAGCGGCCCCCCUUCAGCGCCGGCACCUACGAGCUGCUGGCGCUGCUCAUCGCCACCAUCGGCGUGCUGGGCUUGUGCAACAACUUGCUGGUGCUGGUGCUCUACUACAAGUUCAAGCGGCUCCGCACGCCCACCAACCUCUUCCUCGUCAACAUCAGCCUCAGCGACCUGCUGGUGUCCGUCUUCGGCGUGAGCCUCACCUUCAUGUCCUGCCUGAGGAGCCGCUGGGUCUGGGACGCCGCCGGCUGCGUCUGGGACGGCUUCAGCAACAGCCUCUUCGGAAUUGUUUCAAUUAUGACUCUCACUGUUCUCGCCUAUGAACGCUACAUUCGAGUGGUCCAUGCAAAAGUGAUUGACUUCUCCUGGUCCUGGCGGGCUAUCACAUACAUCUGGCUCUAUUCAUUGGCCUGGACCGGAGCACCUCUUUUGGGCUGGAACAGAUACACAUUGGAAAUUCAUGGAUUAGGUUGCUCGGUGGACUGGAAGUCAAAAGACCCCAAUGACACCUCCUUUGUGCUCUUUUUUUUUCUUGGCUGUCUGGUUGUACCUGUUGUGAUCAUGGCCUAUUGCUAUGGACAUAUUCUAUAUGCAGUAAGAAUGCUUCGCAGUGUGGAAGAUUUUCAGACUGUUCAAGUGAUCAGACUUCUAAAAUACGAAAAGAAGGUGGCUAAGAUGUGUUUCUUAAUGAUCUCUACCUUCCUUAUUUGUUGGAUGCCCUAUGCAGUGGUCUCCCUUCUAGUAACAUAUGGCUAUGGCAACCUUGUAACUCCAACAGUAGCUAUCAUCCCAUCUUUCUUUGCCAAGUCAAGCACUGCUUAUAAUCCAGUCAUCUAUAUUUUCAUGAGUAGAAAGUUUCGACAAUGCCUUUUGCAACUCUUGUGCUUUCGCUUGAUGAGAUUCCAGAGGACUGCGAAAGAGACCCCAGGAGAAGAGAAUGACAAACCAAUACGACCAAUAGUAAUGUCUCAAAAAGGAGGGGAUAGGCCAAAGAAGAAAGUCACAUUUAGCUCUUCCUCUAUCAUUUUUAUUAUCACCAGUGAUGACACUCAACAAAUAGAUGAUAACAGUAAAGAAAAUGGAACAAAAGUAAAUGUCAUCCAAGUAAAGCCACUAUAAGGAUGAGCUGAAGAGUCAUUGGAAACUGAUGGACUAUUUGGGCUGGAGACUGGUUUCAAUAAUAGUGCCAGUGGGCUGCCAAGGAAGCCAUAUUAAGCUGUGAAAUACUGAGGGAAUGGAAGAGGAAGAUGCUUAGGAUUCACACUUGGACCAUUCACUGUUCGUAAAGUAACAAAUUCAGAAAGAGUAAAAAAGAGGAAAGAAAGAGGAAAAUAAAGGAGAAAUCAUGAAGGGCAAAAGAAUGAGAAGAGAUGAGAAGGGCACACAAUUAACAGAAGUUUUAAAUAAACUAGUUUAAGAAUUUUAAUGAUCCCAUCAUACAAAGGGAAGCAGCAGGUGUGGUGAGUACCAUGAUAGCCUCAGAGUCAAUUCAUUUCUUUUAACAAAGUUUCAUUGAAACUAUAGGAUGCAUAAUGCAGAUCUGCUCUGCAGCCUUAUAACCAUCCUUUUUUAGCUCCCAGAAUGAGCUAGAUUUAUGCUGAAUGUAACUGACUUCAUGCAGAAAAGUUGGGUUUUAUAGUACUGAGACAUUAUCUUUUAUCACAGUGAUUAAGUCAGUCAGGAAAUCAGUAUUCACAAGCAUUAUCUUUUGUACUCCCAUUCUUUGCAUAACACCAGUAGCAGAGGAUGCCAUUUUCUGCUAAAGUACUGCAGCAAUAGCUGAAUGAAAUGGAUAUUCAAGUAUAGUAUUGUUAAAGGCUGUUUUUUUUCUGGAUGGUUUAGCACGAUAUAUUUAUCCUUAGCUUAUAUCAACAGCCUUCAGCUCAAGAACAAAAAUCAACUAUAUAAUAUUCAGACAUAAAGGAUAAAAAAAAAAAAUCUAGUGCUGGUGGCAAAAGAUUUCACAAAUUGAUAUUUGACCCAUAUAUAAACAGCUCAGUAUGAAAGUAUCUGCUAGGUAUUUAAGUAUCUCUUUCAAGGAGUAAAAGACACCUGCAGAAGCUCAAUGGGUGCUGCAACCUGCAUUUCUGGAGAGUACCAAGGCAAGAUGUAACAAAAAAAGUGUGAUGUUUUUGGAGACAAAGAAUUGGGAAAUCCAGUUUGGGAAGAUUGGGCAGAGAAUGGAUAGGAACGUAAAACUGGCUUUGCAGCUGCGGGGGCCCAGCCAGCACUGGAAAGUGCUGAUGCCUCUGUCUUCUGUGAUACAAACAUCCACUAAUUUCAUCAACAUUAGUAUCCAUUGCUGCUGAUGUGCUUUGGAAAGCCUCUUCUAUAAAAUCUAAAGACAGUAAAUCUAGGUAUUAGAUGAAAAUAAUUUGGAAAAUCAAGAAUCAAAGAUCUGUGAAGUUAUUUUGAGGAGAUACUACAGGCUGGAAGCCUGGAAAACAAUCAGCAAGUCUUUGUCUUUUCAGACCUCAGUGAAUAAAAGUGGCAAUGGAUGAGGCAAUAAAUACUAUAGAACUUAUUACAUGACUUUUUUUUGGGCAGAAAAUUUUGAAAACAAAAGUGUUUAUACUAGAAAAGCAAAACAUCUUAAUGGAAAAGGUUUGAUACCAAAAGCAUAGACAAGCAAAAAAUGUGGAGGCCUAAAAGAUGUGCAUGGAAGAACACCAAAGGAUGCAGAUGUGUUUCUGAGCAGCAAAAAUCUAUGUAGCGGCUUCAAACCAGAAAACAAGGGAGAGGGAGGGCUUGGGCAAAACAAUUUAUGUUAUUGGUAUUACACAGCAGUAAUGUGAACUAUACUGAGAAGUAAUGUCUGUUUUACCACAGUUAUUAUUUCUUGACUCUUGUAAAGGAAAUGGGGAACAGGGGGUGAAGCUGGAACAGUCCCAGAGGGUGUGGAUGAAUGUUCUUGCUGCUACUAAGGUUGGUGAUAGCUUCUGAGUUGGACUGGUACUUUCAUGCGCCCCAGUCCCUCCUUCCAUGACAGCAAUGGCAGGAUCAAAAGCAGAAGGGAGACUCAGCUCUUUGAACUGCAGCACCUGAUCUUCCUUUCUUCUUGGCACAGGCAAUCUGUGCAGCCUUUUAGUCCCAGCUGCCUCACACCCACGGCCUCUUUGCUGCUGUUCUGACCUGGCUCUGCGUAUAAUUUAUCCACCUAAUGCUGAACAUUAUGAAUGCCUUUCUCUCUCUCUGCCUCUUUAACAGAUUAGUAUUGAAGAUUUACUUGCAAGGAAUUAAAGCCGAAGAGGAAAUUAAAUUGAUUUUCACUACAAAUUAGAAUGCAGGUUAUCAGCUGUAGGCUCAGCAUCAAACACUUCUGGACCUGGCUCUUUUACAGUUGGUUCAUUGCGUUUUCGACAGUGUUUGUUCUCCCUCUUGUGGUUAAAUCAGCACUUCCUAAUAGAACAAAGAGCCUGGCUGCCUAUUUUCAUUACACAUUACGUUGCUGGAGCAGUAUGUCUAAAUCCACUUUUUGCCUUGAUGAAACUUUCUCCAGCUGAAAGUAGAAUUCCAUCUUGUACUUUGUAAAGUAGCUUGACGUCUGCUCUGAGGAAGAGCUGUUAGCCAUGUUAGGCUUACCGUGCUUUCUUUAUAGAGAGGUGAUUGAGACUGAGGCCAGAAUAUGGAGCAGACUUGGAAUUUUGUCUCUGUUAUGAAUGGAUCUUAGAUAAAAAAUGAGAAAAUACUCUUUGUCUUUACAUGUCAUGCUGUCUUCAAGAUUUAUCUAAUUACCUAGUACCAGUUGAAACUCAAUACAGUGUGCCUCUGAUUUGGUUUGCUGUGCUGGUGUGAGUGGUGUAGUGAGCACAUGGG